UUUGUACUCAUGUAAGGUGACAAAGAUAGCAAAUUUGACCGUAUCCACGUCAAUUAUCAUGCAUCUUCAUCAGUGCAAGAA
rnacentral:pre_miRNA from 1 species